rnacentral:lncRNA from 10 species
GGCGACGUGAGGGAGCCACUUGGCAGGGGGAGCAGGCGUGCUCUGCAGAACCCCGUGGGCAGCACCAGCGAGUCAGCAAUGGGAAGAAGUGACACGACGGCACAACUCCCAACUCUUUGACCUAUUCAAAGAUGGAACUUCACAGAGAAUCAGCUCUGCUUUGUCCUAGACACAUUUAAAGAGAGCUGAGACGGCCUGUCAGCGCAACUAGGGUUGCCACACACGCCAAGUGGAGGAGAAGAGCCUGCUGUGUGCGCGCACCUGACAGUCACCGGCUUCUCUUUACGUUUCCAAUAGGAAGCGCACACUACGCUGUGGGAACAAAAACACCAGGUGUCUGCUAUGGCCAAGGCAGAUAAGGUCUUUCUCUCCAACAGGAUCCAGAGAUG